rnacentral:rRNA from 1 species
AAAGCGUGCGUAGGCGGCUCGUUAAGUCAGAUGUGAAAGCCCCGGGCUCAACCUGGGAACUGCAUUUGAAACUGGUGAGCUAGAGUUGAGUAGAGGUAAGUGGAAUUUCAGGUGUAGCGGUGAAAUGCGUAGAUAUGCGGAGGAACACCAGUGGCGAAGGCGGUCUCCUGGUAUGCACCUGACACUCAGACGCGAAGGCUAGGGGAGCGAACGGGAUUAGAAACCCCGGUAGUCCUAGCAGUAAACGAUGAUUACUAGGUGUUAGUGGUAACCAAACCACUAGUGCCGAAGCUAACGCGAUAAGUAAUCCGCCUGGGGACUACGAUCGCAAGAUUAAAACUCAAAGGAAUUGACGGGGACCCGCACAAGCAGCGGAGCGUGUGGUUUAAUUCGAGGCUACGCGAAGAACCUUACCCAGGUUUGACAUGUAGGUAGUAGUGAAGCGAAAGCGGAACGACCCUUCGGGGAGCCUAUACAGGUGAUGCAUGGCUGUCGUCAGCUCGUGCCGUGAGGUGUUUGGUUAAGUCCACUAACGAGCGCAACCCUCGGGGCCAGUUACAAGUGUCUGGCGCGACUGCCGGUCUUAAGCCGGAGGAAGGUGGGGAUGACGUCAAGUCAGCAUGUCCUUUAUAUCUGGGGCUACACACACGCUACAAUGGGUAACACAAUGGGUUGCCAAGCCGCGAGGCGGAGCCAAUCCUAAAAAGUUGCCCUCAGUUCAGAUCGCAGGCUGCAACUCGC